rnacentral:rRNA from 1 species
GCCUCAAAUAAUGUGUGAUCACCCC